rnacentral:rRNA from 1 species
UACCAGCACCCCGAGUGGUCGGGACGAUUAUUGGGCCUAAAGCAUCCGUAGCCGGUUCUGCAAGUCCUCCGUUAAAUCCAGCUGCUCAACAGAUGGGCCGCGGAGGAUACUACAGAGCUAGGAGGCAGGAGAGGCAAGCGGUACUCAGUGGGUAGGGGUAAAAUCCGUUGAUCCAUCGAAGACCACCAGUGGCGAAGGCGGCUUACUGGUCCAUUACUGACGCUGAGGUGCGAAAGCGUGGGGAGCAAACAGG